rnacentral:rRNA from 1 species
CCUACGGGCGGCAGCAGUGGGGGAUAUUGCACAAUGGGGGAAACCCUGAUGCAGCGACGCCGCGUGGGUGAAGAAGCGCCUCGGCGCGUAAAGCCCUGUCAGCAGGGAAGAAAAUGACGGUACCUGAAGAAGAAGCCCCGGCUAACUACGGGCCAGCAGCCGCGGUAAUACGUAGGGGGCAAGCGUUAGCCGGAUUUACUGGGGGUAAAGGGGGCGCAGACGGCGAUGCAAGCCAGGAGGGAAAGCCCGGGGCCCACCCCCGGGACUGCUCUUGGAACUGCGUGGCUAGAGUGCAGGAGGGGCAGGCGGACUUCCUGGUGUAGCGGUGAAAUGCGUAGAUAUCAGGAGGAACACCGGUGGCGAAGGCGGCCUGCUGGACUGCAACUGACGUUGAGGCCCGAAAGCGUGGGGAGCAAACAGGAUUAGAUACCCCAGUAGUC